UGCCAGCCGCCGCGGUAAUACGGAGGGUGCAAGCGUUAAUCGGAAUUACUGGGCGUAAAGCGCGCGUAGGUGGUUUGAUAAGCGAGAUGUGAAAGCCCCGGGCUUAACCUGGGAACGGCAUUUCGAACUGUCAGGCUAGAGUAUGGUAGAGGGUAGUGGAAUUUCCUGUGUAGCGGUGAAAUGCGUAGAUAUGUGGAGGAAUACCAGUGGCGAAGGCGGCCCCCUGGAUCGAUACUGACGCUAAGGUGCGAAAGCGUGGGGAGCAAACAGGAUUAGAUA
rnacentral:rRNA from 1 species